GUGCUCACUUCAGCAGCACAAAUACUAAAACUGGAAUGAUACAGAGAAGAUUAGCAUGGUCCCUGCACAAGGAUGACAUGUAAAUUCGUGUUCCAUAGUUUU